AUUGUCCAAGGAUAGAAAGGCAGCUAUCACACCCUUGUGGUCUUAAAGAAAUGCCGGAGUUGUCGCCCGGCUGGACAAA
ncrna:Dorea formicigenerans ATCC 27755 skipping-rope RNA